AGGGGUCCCCAACUGGCGGACCCCGGUCCGAAUCCGGACCGCGAGAUGCGUCCAUCCGGACCGCAAAGACUUUUAACACAAUAAAAUACAUAAAUAGCAAACGCUAUUUAACGUUAUUAUAAAAUCCUAUUUAUAUCAGGCACAUAUAUGGUCAGCCCAGUAGCGCUAUAUGGGUCCUACAUCAACACAGGUUUCGAGUGCGGAGCCAGCGCGAACAGUCACAGACAGGUGUGCAGGGAAGAAAGCAGAGAGCCUCAUCUUGCUUGCGAGUCUGUUGCGGUUGUCAAAAGUGGGGACAUUAAACACCAUUACGAAACUAAACAAAGACACUUUGAAGAAACUUACCCUCAGCAGUCCGAGAAUAACUCUGUCACGGACUUGAUGAACCCAGUGUCCUUGGAUUACGCACACAAAAAUGUGAACAUUUUAAGAAAACCAGAACUGUGUUGGACUCCAUUUUCACACUGGAAGAAAUGACAACAUGCUCUGUCACAGGAAAAAAAGGAUUUGUUGGUAAACAAAGGCAGAGCCUUUAUAAAGAUAAAGUGAAGCUAGUUAUAGACCAUGUAAAGAAAGUUUACAGAGGCAUUGGUGACUCAGAGAUCAAAGUCUGCAUAGAACAGAAAUUAGAAGACCUGAGGAGACGAACUGAUCACGCCGCCAUUGGCUAACAUCCCUGUCAGUUUCCACCCCUGCCACUGACGUCACUUCCCGGUCCAGAGCUGUAGGCACUGAAAGUUACCACCGGCUUGGCUGUACAGUCAAGCCCUGUACCUUCUCAUGUCUCGUUACCAGCCGAUGUUCCUUUGCCAACGUUUUAUGUUAGUAAGCAUAUAGCUCUUGUUCCACCGUUAACCAGUCAGCGCCAGCGUUUUCAUGA